rnacentral:rRNA from 1 species
UACGUAGGGCGCAAGCGUUAUCCGGAAUUAUUGGGCGUAAAGAGCUCGUAGGCGGUUUGUCGCGUCUGCUGUGAAAACUGGAGGCUCAACCUCCAGCCUGCAGUGGGUACGGGCAGACUAGAGUGCGGUAGGGGAGAUUGGAAUUCCUGGUGUAGCGGUGGAAUGCGCAGAUAUCAGGAGGAACACCGAUGGCGAAGGCAGAUCUCUGGGCCGUAACUGACGCUGAGGAGCGAAAGCGUGGGAGCGAACAGG